GUCAUAUGCUUGUCUCAAAGAUUAAGCCAUGCAUGUCUCAGUACAAGCCAAAUUAAGGUGAAACCGCGAAAGGCUCAUUAAAUCAGUUAUGGUUCCUUAGAUCGUACCCACAAUUACUUGGAUAACUGUGGUAAUUCUAGAGCUAAUACAUGCAAACAGAGCUCCGACCGGAGACGGAAGGAGUGCUUUUAUUAGAUCAAAACCAAUCGGUGACGGGUUCGCUCGUUACCGUACAACUUGGUGACUCUGAAUAACUUUACGCUGAUCGCACGGUCAUCGCACCGGCGACGCAUCUUUCAAAUGUCUGCCUUAUCAACUGUCGAUGGUAGGUUCUGCGCCUACCAUGGUUGUAACGGGUAACGGGGAAUCAGGGUUCGAUUCCGGAGAGGGAGCCUGAGAAACGGCUACCACAUCCAAGGAAGGCAGCAGGCGCGCAAAUUACCCACUCCCGGCACGGGGAGGUAGUGACGAAAAAUAACGAUACGGGACUCAUCCGAGGCCCCGUAAUCGGAAUGAGUACACUCUAAACCCUUUAACGAGGAUCAAUUGGAGGGCAAGUCUGGUGCCAGCAGCCGCGG
rnacentral:rRNA from 1 species